AACCUUAUGGACCUGCGGGCGUAUACCUGCGGAAGGAUCAUUACCUAGAGUUUGUAGACUUCGGUCUGCUACCUCUUACCCAUGUCUUUUGAGUACCUUCGUUUCCUCGGCGGGUCCGCCCGCCGAUUGGACAACAUUCAAACCCUUUGCAGUUGCAAUCAGCGUCUGAAAAAACAUAAUAGUUACAACUUUUAACAAUGGAUCU
rnacentral:misc_RNA from 1 species